AUAUGGCUCAGAACGAACGCUGGCGGCGCGUCUUAAGCAUGCAAGUCGAACGGCAAGAGGUAGCAAUACCUCCUAGAGUGGCGGACUGGUGAGUAACACGUGGGUGACAUACCCUUCAGAUGGGGAUAGCUAUAGAAAUAGUAGAUAAUACCGAAUACGAGCACAGGGGUUAGAGAUCUGUGAGGAAAGGAGCUAAGGCUCCGCUGAAGGAAUGGCCUGCGGCCCAUUAGCUAGUUGGUGAGGUAAGAGCCCACCAAGGCGAUGAUGGGUAUCCGGCCUUAGAGGGUGAACGGACACAUUGGGACUGAGAUACGGCCCAGACUCCUACGGGAGGCAGCAGCUAAGAAUAUUCCGCAAUGGACGAAAGUCUGACGGAGCGACGCCGCGUGGAUGAAAGAAGGCCGGAAGGUUGUAAAAUCCUUUUGAAACUGAAGAAUAAGCGUUGUAGGGAAUGACAGCGUGGUGACAGUAGGUUUUGAAUAAGCAACGGCUAAUUACGUGCCAGCAGCUGC
rnacentral:rRNA from 1 species